CGAGACCAGGCAGUGGUUGCCGAGGGGGUUGCAGAGGGGGUUGCAGAGGGGGUAGGACUAUCUGCAUAGCAUUUGUGCCUGCCACCACCCCUUGAAUGGCGGUUAGCAGAUUUGGGAAGUAUUCUAGGUUAUGUGCUGGUCCAACCUCCCCUUACUUUACGACAGUGACGAGCAGAGCCUGGGAUGCUAAGUGACUUGCCCAGGAUGCCCGUGACCCGGGGCCGCCACCCUCCCGGAACAGUGUGCUCUUGCCGCCAAAGAAGACUCACUGUGCUUGGUGAGGGUCUCCGAAGACGACUCCUUUGAGGAUAAAACAGAAAUAAUAAACCUACAGUGUAGAGAGAAACACCAUGGAAAGCGUAGACAAAUAAAAGACGAAGGGGAAAAAGGUCACGUGAUGCCACGCUGUUUUGGCUGAAGCAGAGCAGGGCUCUUACGGGAUGCGCUGGAACCUGGCUUAAAACCCAGCGGUGACUGAACUUCUUGUUCUUAUUGGCAGGUUCAAGGGGUAGCGGCUGCUGUGUUUUCUGUUCGGGGAGGGCCCUUGGCCAGAGUUGCUGAGUACUCAGCGCAAGCCAGGUGAUGAAGCAACUGGCAGGACCCGGAGAGAGGGAGAGUGUUUCUCCUGGCUGAAUGAGGAAAUGGGUUCCAUGGUGGUACGGUCUGGGGACGGGGUGGUCCCUGAGACAGGCUUCACCUGGCAUGGAGCCCAAUGCAGGGCUUGAACUCACAACCCCAAGAUCAAGACCUGAACUGAGAUCACCAGUUGGAUGCUUGAUGGACAGAGCCACCCAGGCACCCCUCCUUAUGCUCGUUUGAGAUAGGCUUCUAUUACUUGUCAUGAUCUCGCAGUUCGUGUGUCAGAGCCCCGCCUCGGGCUUGAGAUGACAGCAAGGAGCCUGCUUGGGAUUCUCUGUCUCUGUUUCUCUCUCUCUCCCUCCCCUUCCCUGCCUCUCUUGUGUAUGUCCCCCCCCCCCCCGACACGUUCUCUCUCUUUCUCUCUCUCUCACA